UACGAAGGGGGCUAGCGUUGUUCGGAUUUACUGGGCGUAAAGCGCACGUAGGCGGAUCGUUAAGUCAGGGGUGAAAUCCUGGGGCUCAACCCCAGGAACUGCCCUUUGAAUACUGGACGAUCGUCGAGUCCGGAAGAGGUGAGUGGAACUCCGAGUGUAGAGGUGAAAUUCGUAGAUAUUCGGAGGAACACCAGUGGCGAAGGCAGCUCGCUGGGACGGUACGUGACGCUGAGACGCGAAAGCGUGGGGAAGCAAAC
rnacentral:rRNA from 1 species